rnacentral:snoRNA from 1 species
AGACCAUGAUGAGGACAAUGCCUAAGUAAGUCCUUAUAUCUUUCCCAAGCUUUGUAAGCAACUCACCAUCAAACUGUGUAAAUGAAGUAAUAUCAUUCCUCAUCUU